GACGAACGCUGGCGGCGUGCUUAACACAUGCAAGUCGAACGAUGAAGCCGGAGCUUGCUCUGGUGAAUUAGUGGCGAACGGGUGAGUGACACGUGGGUAACCUGCCCUUGACUCUGGGAUAACUGCUAGAAAUGGUAGCUAAUACCGGAUACGACCCUCGGAGGCAUCUCCAGGGGGUGGAAAGAAUUUCGGUCAAGGAUGGACUCGCGGCCUAUCAGCUAGUUGGUGAGGUAACGGCUCACCAAGGCGACGACGGGUAGCCGGCCUGAGAGGGUGACCGGCCACACUGGGACUGAGACACGGCCCAGACUCCUACGGGAGGCAGCAGUGGGGAAUAUUGCACAAUGGGCGCAAGCCUGAUGCAGCAACGCCGCGUGAGGGAUGACGGCCUUCGGGUUGUAAACCUCUUUUAGUAGGGAAGAAGCGAAAGUGACGGUACCUGCAGAAAAAGCACCGGCUAACUACGUGCCAGCCGCCGCUGUAA
rnacentral:rRNA from 1 species